GCCACACAUGUUAAGGACCCUCAGCCCAGGGAGGUGGCUUUAAUCUUGGUUCUCCAGUGUCAGGAAGAGAUCCUUCAGUCAUGGGGUAAUCAGGAAGUCUCCUAGGAUAAGGUUAUUAUAUUCAAGUCCUGCCAAAAAAUGUAAGAAAAGAAGCUCCUAUUUGAGUGGACCAAAAAGAACAAUUAUACCUCCUAAAAAUAAAAUGAACCUAAGCUAAGAAAAUGAAAAGGUUUCUAAAGAAGUUUCUUAGGAAGCUACUGAAGGAUGUAUACCACCCAAACAAAGGAGAUAAUGAAAGGAGAGAAAGAUAUAAGAAACAGAAGCUCCAACUCAAGAGAAAAGCAUAAAGCAUCCCUAGGAGAAUGGUGAAGAGAUAUCCUGGGAAGAUAAUUAUGCAGCAGGCACAGAGAGCAGCCAAGUCAAAUGGAGUAAGUUGGAAAUCUCAGGGAAAGAUUUCUCCAAAAAGAUGAAAAUGAUAGAAUAUGUGACGAGCUUGAAACUGUUGAGAGAUUUAGGCAGUUGGGGAGAGAUUGUGGUUGAAUUAGUUAUAACUACAGAGAAAACCAAGGGGAGGGGGGAAAUAAGACAAUUAUUAACCUCAGAGAAAUUAAAAAG